UACAGAGGGGGCAAGCGUUGGUCGGAAUUACUGGGCGUAAAGGGCGCGUAGGUGGCCUUCUAAGUUGAACGUGAAAUCCCUGGGCUCAACCCAGGAACUGCGUCCAAGACUGGGAGGCUUGAAUCCGGGAGAGGGAUGCGGAAUUCCAGGUGUAGCGGUGAAAUGCGUAGAUAUCUGGAGGAACACCGGUGGCGAAGGCGGCAUCCUGGACCGGUAUUGACACUGAGGCGCGAAAGCCAGGGGAGCGAACGGG
rnacentral:rRNA from 1 species